AUGGCAUAUAUAAAUACGGCUAGACGCGAAAACGAACUAAAAGGUCCAGCCGAGUUUCAGGUGGAUUUUUUAUGCAGCGACCUGCUUCUACUUUAGCCCUACAAAUGACAAAUUUUGAAUGUGUUUUGCUAAGAACUUCAGCCCUGAUUAGACAACAUUAUCUUUAGAUUCGUUGUUGUCAGGCUUAUCACGAGUUAACUUUUUCCGAUACCGCUUCCUUAGACAAGCCCCACAAAGAACUGUCAUUUCGGAUAUAUUUUUAUUACAUGUUUAGCGAACAACAUGGAUCCUGACUAGUCUGCGCAGAUGCGCAGUCUGGUCUGGAUCCAUGCUGGUCACAGUUGCACUAUGUUGGUUUUCUCAUGGCGCAGCUCAAAUGUUAUCUGUGCCACUGGUACUUAUCCCAAGCAAGAACCAACCCUACGGCCUUGAUAAGAUGACUGCCUUUUUCUUAGUAUUAAUGCUAUACAGCACACAAAUAAUCUGCCCUCACUUAUAACAGAACUAUGCAGACAUGUACAUGUACUUAAGCUACUGACCGCUCACUUAUACAUGUAUACCUAUUCACACAUGUAAUGCAUCAAUAACUACUAGAACAGUGUAUAGAUAAAUCAAGUACAGGUUGUUUGCAAAAAUAUCGUUCUAUAUUUUAUUUAUUUAUAGGAUUUUAAUCUUAAAAUGUUUUUUUUUUCUUAAAUAAAAAAAAAAUUGUCACUUUAUUCGACUGGAAUUCAUAUAUUUAAAACUUCCGUAAAGUGAUGACAUUAUAUUUUUACGGAAAUUAAACAUUUCAGUUUUUUCAAGAAAAUAUACACUGGCCUAGAUAAAAUAAGAAAAACAUCUUGAUAGGAACAGAUACAAACCAGUUUCUGAUGUAAUAAGUUAUGUAACACAUUAGUUUAUCAUUGAUUCGAAACAAUUUGGGUACUGUUUAAAUUCUUAAUGAGAAUUGUGCCUUCAUAAUGUAGGCUAGAAGCAUAUGAUAGUGUCCACAGUCCUUGACAGAAUUAAAUGUAAAUUUCAGCAUAUUUUUCACACAAAUAUGUAUUUGUGCGUAGAAAUGUGAUCAGGCUGAGCACAUGGCCUUAUGGAUUACAUAAUUUUUGGCGCUUAGCGUAAAAACAGUUUAAGGACAGGAUUUACAAAUAUUCAAUUUAUGCUUAAAUGUACAUGCGAUACAUUAUGCAUAUGAAUAUAGUUCACGGUAGUAUCGCAUAUGGAAGUAACUGGAAUAAAUUUGGACUAUUUCCUUCGGAUGUUUACAUGACUGUGCUGUCAAAAGGCCUCCCAUGUGUUUACAUAUUUUGACAGGUCGAGUUGCUCUUGCAGGAACGACGAUAAGAUGAAUACCUGCACCAUGGAAAUAUUGUAGAUCUAAUUUGUAAACUGUCGUGGAACCUGUGUUCGGCUCGCACAUUUCCUAUUCAACAGGAAUGCAUGAUGGAGACCAACAGUACAGAAAGAUGAAGAAGUAAAUUGAUCCAAAUAAACAAUGGGACAAUGAAUGUUGUAAUUACCAAGAAGAAAACUUCACUUUUAUACAGUUGAAGUAUGAUAUUGUGAAUAAAUACCCUCAAUGUAGCCUUAUGGAG